rnacentral:rRNA from 1 species
AAGUCGAGCGAUGAAGUUCUUCGGAAAUGGAUUAGCGGCGAACGGGUGAGGAACACGUGAAGAAUCUGCCUUCCACUUUGGGAUAACACCGGGAAACCGGUGCUAAUACCGAAUAUUGAAACAUAAGUGGCAUCACUGAGUUUUGAAGAAUUCGGUGGAGGAUGACUUCGCGGCCUAUCAGCUAGUUGGGUGAGGUAAAUGGCUCACCAAGGCAACGACGGGUAGCCGGCCUGAGAGGGCGACCGGCCACACUGGGACUGAGGCACGGCCCAGACUCC